rnacentral:lncRNA from 1 species
CCAGUCGCGUCGAGGCUCAGGUGUAUGCUGAAUUGAUGGGCCCAGAACGUUAUGGUCGCGUGAGGGGUUACGGUGUCGGAGUUACCCCCACUCAGCUAUCUGCAGUGAGCCGAUAUACCCAAGAUGCCAGACAAGGUACUAGCACUGCAGAGGUUUGUAGUUUGAAGACAGAGAUGGCACAGAUAAAGCAGUCAUAUGA